AGUGAACGCUGGCGGCAGGCCUAACACAUGCAAGUCGAACGGCAGCACAGAGGAGCUUGCUCCUUGGGUGGCGAGUGGCGGACGGGUGAGGAAUACAUCGGAAUCUGCCUAUUUGUGGGGGAUAACGUAGGGAAACUUACGCUAAUACCGCAUACGACCUACGGGUGAAAGCGGAGGACCUUCGGGCUUCGCGCAGAUAGAUGAGCCGAUGUCGGAUUAGCUAGUUGGCGGGGUAAAGGCCCACCAAGGCGACGAUCCGUAGCUGGUCUGAGAGGAUGAUCAGCCCCACUGGAACUGAGACACGGUCCAGACUCCUACGGGAGGCAGCGGUGGGGAAUAUUGGACAAUGGGCGCAAGCCUGAUCCAGCCAUGCCGCGUGGGUGAAGAAGGCCUUCGGGUUGUAAAGCCCUUUUGUUGGGAAAGAAAAGCAGUCGGUUAAUACCCGAUUGUUCUGACGGUACCCAAAGAAUAAGCACCGGCUAACUUCGUGCCAGCCGCCGCCGUAACAC
rnacentral:rRNA from 1 species